CUCCUUGUCACAGUCUGUUUCCUGUUGCCUUCUGAUCAAGAUGCAUCCAGUACCAUGUCUGCCUGAAUGGCAUCACGCUCCCAGCCGCCACGCUCCCUGCCACGAUGAUGAUAAUAGACUAAACCUCGGAAACUCCAGGGACAGAGGGCCUACGAGGUGCUGGCUUUGGAGGGACCGACCGUCUGCACCUUCCACCCCUCACGUCUUGGGUCACUGAGGGGGUCAGGAGAGAAAGGCAGAGGUUACAUUUUCCGAGGACUCUGCCCAAGGUCAGCCAGGAGCUCAGUCUGGGGAGGGAGACGGGCUUCCACGCUGAGUCUGCCAGUGCCCGCUGGGCAGCUUUGUACUGGGAAGCUGCAAGCCAGGCCCCAGACUUCUCUAGUGACUUGAGAAUUCGAUAGCCGUUGGGCAGCCAACAGGCCUCUCUGGCAAGGCUGAGAGAUGAGUCCUUCAGACUCUCCUGGGACUGAGGACACAGUGGGGGAGGGGUGUGAGCACUCCAGCCCCCAAAGCCUGCAUCCCUCCCUCUUUUCUCCUUGAUCUGGGCUUAUGUCUGACUUCUCCCACCCUCAGCUCAGACACAUCCUUGGCUGAGUCCUCACUCUGGCUGUCACCUGAUGUUGGCGAGACCUGGGAAACCCUGAUGGGGUGGAGGACGUAUAGGUUUUCUUCAGAUCUUUCACAAACUUACCACCCACGGCUGAGGCUACCCUUCCCAGACACUGUCAUACUGAACAUGACAACCUUCUCCCCCGAUAUCCUCUGGAGCCUGAACCAGUGAUCAGGGCAACAGAGGCGUCUCACAGCGACCAGGAGACGCACAGGGAGCUAAAGACAGUUUCCACACAGGCUUUUCCUUCCUCAACGGCCUUUGGGGGCUUGCUGGAGAGGCUGCAGGGCACAGGAUCUUCCUGUAGCAGUCAACAAGUGUGGCCAGGACACUGGCCUCUUCCCUCUCCUCUUCCACCCCCAGACCUGUCACCUGCCCCUCCCACAGUCCCCCACCCAGACUCAGGGGCGCAAAGCACAGCUCUUGCUCCAGAAGAAAAAAGACCAUCUAUUCUGAGCCAAACAGGAAUGAAAAAUAUGAGUUCACUUCAUCUAUGGAA